rnacentral:lncRNA from 1 species
AAUUAUAUAAAUUGUGCUAACCUGCAGAUGAAGGCUGAGGCGAGGUAAGUCUUCUGUGUGAUGUGGCUAGGCCACCUGGGGCGUAUUUUCUUUCUAAUAGGGGUUUAGGGGGUUGAACUUGCUGAGACAUCGUCUCAUCCCGGUUGUGGGAUUAAAAUUUCAAGUCCCUGGUGGAUGGAGCGAUCAGAUAGCUUUGGUUGGCCUUGAGGAGUUGCAGAUGUGAAGUCGUAAGAUUGAAGAACGUGUCCGACUUGUAGGUCGUAGGACAAUUCAUUUUUUAAGAGCCGGUCUUUUGUAGACUUUUGGCCGUAGACCUCUGUUUGUAAUUCUGUUGAAUUAUGGAAGUGUUAUGUUGUGGUUUUGCUUCCUGCUUUUCUAUCCCGUAUUUUAUUGUCAGGGGUUUUAUAAUACGUUCCGCUUGCGCAAUAAUAAAUGAAUGGGGUCGGCGACACUACCUGGGAAUGUCGCAUUUGAUCGACCGUAGUGGGAUGUGCUCGCGCUCGGGGUUCGGGGCGUGACACC